rnacentral:rRNA from 1 species
UUGAACGCUGGCGGCAGGCCUAACACAUGCAAGUCGAGCGCGAAAGGUUUUCGGACUGAGUAAAGCGGCGGACGGGUGAGUAACGCGUGGGAAUCUGCCCAGUAGUGGGGGACAACAGUCGGAAACGACUGCUAAUACCGCAUACGCCCUACGGGGGAAAGGGGGGGAUCUUCGGACCUCUCGCUAUUGGAUGAGCCCGCGUCGGAUUAGCUAGUUGGUAGGGUAAAGGCCUACCAAGGCUACGAUCCGUAACUGGUCUGAGAGGAUGAUCAGUCACACUGGAACUGAGACACGGUCCAGACUCCUACGGGAGGCAGCAGUGGGGAAUAUUGGACAAUGGGGGCAACCCUGAUCCAGCCAUGCCGCGUGUGUGAAGAAGGCCUUAGGGUUGUAAAGCACUUUCAGUGGGGAGAAAGGUUUGUCACCUAAUACGUGAUGAAAUUGAUGUUACCCACAGAAGAAGCACCGGCUAACUCCGUGCCAGCAGCCGCAGUAA